ensembl:lncRNA
AGCCUCUACAUCGCUGGACUCUGCUGGUGCCAACGCUACAGCUAUUAACACCUCUACAUCGCUGGACUCUGCUGGUGCCAACGCUACAGCUAUUAACAGUAAGUGAGCAGUCAGAGGUCAGACUUCACUAUUCAGACACCCAAACACAUG